rnacentral:rRNA from 1 species
ACUCCUACGGGAGGCAGCAGUGGGGAAUAUUGCACAAUGGGCGCAAGCCUGAUGCAGCAACGCCGCGUGAGUGAUGAAGGCCUUCGGUCGUAAAGCUCUGUCCUCAAGGAAGAAUAAAUGACGGUACUUGAGGAGGAAGCCCGGGCUAACUACGUGCCAGCAGCCGCGGUAAUACGUAGGGGGCAAGCGUUAUCCGGAAUCACUGGGGCGUAAAGGGGUGCGUAGGCGGUUUUGCAAGUCAGAAGUGAAAGGCUACGGCUCAACCGUAGUAAGCUUUUGAAACUGCAAGACUAGAGUGCAGGAGAGGAAAGUGGAAUUCCUAGUGUAGAGGUGAAAUUCGUAGAUAUUAGGAGGAACACCAGUGGCGAAGGCGACUUUCUGGACUGUAACUGACGCUGAUGCACGAAAGCGUGGGGAGCGAACAGGAUUAGAUACCCUGGUAGCACAGAG